rnacentral:rRNA from 1 species
AUGGAAGAAGAUCAGGUUAAAUUAGCAGCACUCAUCGCGGAGCUAGAGGAGCCAGUUGGUCUUUGCGACUUGCCAGCAAUUGACCCUCCUAAUACUAAUAGAAAGAAGGGAAGGGCAAUAAAGAAUUUUUCUGAGUGGAUAGAGAAAGAGCCUCCAAUGAAUUGGUCUUUGCUGCAUGACACACAUGGAGCUAGGUAUGGCCACAUGACAACCAAUCUUGCAGAGGUGUAUAACUUUGUGCUGAGAGGGAAUAGAGCAUUGCCACUCACAGCUAUUGUGGAGGCUGUAUUCCAUGGCACUUUGAGAUAUUUCAGAGAAAGGCACGAGUUAGCAAAGAAGCAUAUUGAAGAUAAUCAGAACACACCUUAUUGUAGCCGUGUCAUGGAAUACAUGGCAAAGAAGAUAGAGAAAGCAAAGAAGCACAGUGUCAGACUCAUAGGGAAUCAAGAAAGGAGGUAUGAGGUUCAGCUUCCUACCGAUGGUUUUGGUUCUGGAAAUGAGGUGAAGACACACGAGGUUAAAAUUGGAACGGAAUUUUAUCCAACGUGUGAGUGUACAUGCAACAAACCGAAGUUGUUGCACCUACCUUGCUCUCAUGUGUUGGCUGCCUGUGGCCAGAUUCAGUUGGAUGCUAUAUCCUUCGUGUCCCCAUACUAUUUAAAAGAGGCAGUGCUCAACACCUGGACAGGCGAGAUGACAGGGUUUAGAGUCGUCGGCAAUUUCAACAAGGUAAACGACGGUGAGAGAGUAUACAUCCCGCAUCCAGACCUUCAGCGAACAAGUAGGGGCAGACGAAAGGCCCGUCGCAUCCGGAACGAUAUGGACCAGUCUGAAGCUGGUGGAGCAACCAGACAAUGUUUGUUAUGCGCGGCUUAUGGGCAUAGGAUGAAAUAU